UACGGAGGGGGCCAGCGUUGUUCGGAAUCAUUGGGCGUAAAGGGCGCGUAGGCGGCUUGGUAAGUCCGUUGUGAAAUCCCUCGGCUCAACCGAGGAACUGCGACGGAUACUGCUUGGCUUGAGUCCCGGAGAGGGUAGCGGAAUUCCCAGUGUAGCGGUGAAAUGCGUAGAUAUUGGGAGGAACAUCGGUGGCGAAGGCGGCUACCUGGACGGGUACUGACGCUGAGGAGCGAAAGCCAGGGGAGCAAACGGG
rnacentral:rRNA from 1 species